rnacentral:rRNA from 1 species
UAGGGAAUAUUGGACAAUGGGGGCAACCCUGAUCCAGCCAUGCCGCGUGAGUGAAGAAGGCCCUCGGGUUGUAAAGCUCUUUUGUCCGGAAAGAAAAGCAUUCGGUGAAUACCCGGAUGUUCUGACGGUACCGGAAGAAUAAGCACCGGCUAACUUCGUGCCAGCAGCCGCGGUAAUACGAAGGGUGCAAGCGUUACUCGGAAUUACUGGGCGUAAAGCGUGCGUAGGUGGUUGUUUAAGUCUGAUGUGAAAGCCCUGGGCUCAACCUGGGAUUGGCAGUGGAAACUGGGCAGCUAGAGUGCGGUAGAGGGCAGUGGAAUUCCGGGUGUCGCAGUGAAAUGCGUAGAGAUCGGGAGGAACAUCUGUGGCGAAGGCGACUGCCUGGACCAGCACUGACACUGAGGCACGAAAGCGUGGG